UUACUUGAAGAGGAAGGACUAGGAUGACAUUCUGGAGCUACUUGGCAGUUCUCUAUUUCUUGCCAUAACUCGGGCAAAAACAUCCAGUUACAAUUUUACUCAUGGAUCUGAACGUAGAUUUAGAAACAAAGGAACAGCUGCUUAUUAUAAUUAUAAUAUCUUGGACAAUCUUGCUCUUGCUUUUGAUAAUAUUCUUCAUAAAAAUAUGUAUCGCUUUCUACGUCUUUUGGCAUGAAAUAUGGACUACUUCCCACUUUCACUAAAUAGAAUCAACAAUUUUGAAAAAUUUCAAAAUGAGAAGACACACAAGCCAACAAGGAUGAUCUCUGAAUAAAGUGAGCUCUGAAUAAAGUGAACACCAUC
rnacentral:lncRNA from 1 species